UGGGCUUGGAAGUGCUUUGGUAAGCAGCUCUGGAAGGACCAUCAUCAUCUCCAGCCCAGGGACAGUUGCUUGCUGGCAGAGGAAGGCACAGGGUCUGGAGGAGGGAAACCCACAUGCAAACCCAGUUCUAGAGCUGUGAGCAGGCGGUGAAGGGGUACGAAGCAGAGUCCAGCUCAGUCACAAAUCAUAUGCUUUCCAUAAAGCUACAGGAUCCAUGUCAUUCACCUUUUGAUGCAUUUACCGUACACUGAGCAGGAGCAGAGUCACAUUUGAUGUACGUCUUUACCGGGAGGAAGCUGCCCCUUGUGUUUCAAUAAUGGACAGAAGAGGUUUUCCAGUACCAAGGAGAAGAGCUGGCUGCUGUAACCCACGUACUCCCAGCACAGUAAUUGAUUUUUUUUUUGCUUUUUCAAGAUGCAAGAAAAGAAAGGAAAAUGAGUAUCUGUAUUUUUCCAAGCUUGUAGAUAAGGGAUUUCGCAGAAGUGAUUUCUGCAGAAAGAAUCCAGGCUUGGAGUGCAGAGCAGGAGAUCUGGACAAUGCGGCAUCACAUGUGUCCCCUGCCUGGAAGACAGGAUGAGGUUGACGACUGCCACCUCCCUGGGAGCAAAAAGCUGAAUCAUUCAGGAAACUGCUGUGUUGAAAUCUACUCCAAAGCCUCAUUAAUUAAAAGCAAAACCUGGAAAUAGCUUUAGCCCCUGAAGAUUUUUUUCACUUACGAAAUCCCAUGUUCAGUUCCUAAUUCCUCUGAACACAAACAGCCACUUAUGACAAGAAACUUUGAUUUUUCUGCUGCUCUCAGCACAUCCAAGUGUGUUCCUUGCUGUGAUGGUAAAUGGAGUAAAAGUGAAAAAAGUGGGGGCUGAGAAGCAGAACUGUUGUGGUUGGGUGUUGGAAGUUUUCUUGACUCCCAAAUACAUUUCUGGUUUUAAUGCUGUGUAGUGUUUGCUUACAACAGAACCUGCUUUCAUGUGUGUAUCCAGCACCACCGGGGUAUGAAAUGGCAGCACGUUUAAAGCAGCGCUUUGAUUUAUCUCCAGCUGUGCAAGUGGAGACUUAAGUGAAGAGCUGCUGUUGAGCUCUGACUGAGAGGAAAAAAGUCACAUUUAGGAAUUCUUGCCUGUUGGCUGACAGAAGGAGCAAAGCAGAAUUAGCUGCACUGGAUCACAGGACUAACAAGUAUUAAUUUCUGCAUGGUUAAGCAUGCAAUGAACUACAACAAAGCGGGGUUAUAGAAAGGAAUUUGGUGUCUCUUCGUGGCUUCGUGCAUGACAACAAUUUAAGCUACUCAAACAAUUACAGAAAUAAAAUUAGAUAAGCUACGGGUGAACCUUUCCCAGCCCUGUUUCUGGUGAUUGAAAUCUGUUAGAAUUAAAAUGUGUGAGCACCUUGGGAAAGAAGAACUAUGUUUUAAUAUUGUAAAGCAAAUGCCUUUCAGAGGAGGGAAGACCAGAGCAAUGUGCAGCCAAGGCUGGUGAGGCCGGUGGGAAACUGAAGCCACCAGCUCCUGGGUACCAGUUGGUGUGAGAGUGGAUUCAGCAUCCCAUUGGUAAGUGAAAAGAUGUUAUUACUGGCCUGGAUAGUCCAUAAUAAAACCAAUGGUGGUUCUUGUAUUUGCCGCAAGAAUAAUCAACUUUUCUUCUCCUGUUUCAAUGUUGAUUUAUUCCUGAUGGAACUGGCUAUGAUUUUGUGAGCUGUCUUAAAAUGUGAUAAGAUUGCUGUUAUUCCGAUGAAUAAACAUCAGGGGUUGUGUUGGAGGGCAGAUAAAGAGAUUGUCAAGUGCCACAUCUGUUCCAUGACUUCCAACAAGAAAGUUUCCUUCCAAGCCAUGCUCUCUGCUUUUGGCUUGAGCUUUUGUGCCUCACAAACUUGUUUCUUUAUAUUGUUGGCCUAGUUGUUAUCAUUAUUAAAAGAGAAGAGGAUGUUAAUUGCUCCUUCCUUGAUUGCCUGGUUGGGAUGUCCCAGCAGCUGUGGAAGGUUCUGCAGAGCAAACCAGGGUCCUCAUAGCUAAGGGAGGCUGGACAAGGGCUGCCAUGGGCAACAUCCACUUAUCCUGAAUUAGAAUAGUUGAUCUGAUUAUGUCAUACCAUGAGAAUUUGGAUCAACUCUGCUCUGGCCAACAUGCGGCCAUGCAGCAUCAAAUUCUCCAGUGCUGUUGUGCCAGAAAACAGCCUUGGUGGCAGCACUUGUUCUUCUUGAACAUGUUUUCUGUAAUAAUUAAUCAUCCUUAUAAAGCAUAAUUGCCCUUUGGACUAUGCCUCUGUCUUCUUCCUUUUCCCUCCUGCUUUUUUAUUUUUUUUUUUAAUAAUUAAUUUUGUGCAGGACAUUUCUGGCUUAAUUUGACAAGCACAAUAACCUGCAUAGGGAAGAGUCGCUCACCUUAGGUGAUUUAGCAGUGUUACGGUCAGCAACAAAUUACCCUUUCUCCUCUGAUCAAUGUCUGCCUGCAGCUCUUGUCUACUUUUCUAAGAGAGCAAUGAUUCUUACUUAUCUCAAAUUUUAAAACCUAUAGCAGAAAACAGACCCAGCUACUAUGACAUGGGGAAGGGCUAAGCCAGCAGAGACACAACCUCCCAAGCGCAGGA